UACGUAGGGUGCAAGCGUUGUCCGGAAUUAUUGGGCGUAAAGAGCUCGUAGGCGGUUUGUCGCGUCUGCUGUGAAAACUCAGGGCUUAACCCUGAGCCUGCAGUGGGUACGGGCAGACUAGAGUGUGGUAGGGGAGAUCGGAAUUCCUGGUGUAGCGGUGGAAUGCGCAGAUAUCAGGAGGAACACCGGUGGCGAAGGCGGCCCCCUGGUUGGAUACUGACGCUGAUACGCGAAAGCGUGGGGAGCAAACAGG
rnacentral:rRNA from 1 species